rnacentral:lncRNA from 1 species
GAGGACUAAUGCUAUUGACUUUGGUGUUUAAUAUGAUCAUGCUCAAGUUAAUUAGGUAUUAUUUGUUAAUGUCUUAUGUUGUAAUUUCUCUCUUUGAAAUUGUACUUAUUUAAAUUUUAAGUAAUGAGUAGUGGCUAUUUUGCAUUUGUUUUGUUUUGCGAGAAUUUAUGCUAUUAACUAAAGGACUCGAUUGGAUGUACCUCGUUAAUUGCGAUGGCCUAUGCCUAUGUACUUUCAAUACAAUAUUUUCUACACCUUUAUUAUGAGGUACGUGACAUUUGCUUUAAAUGUUUAUAUGUAUCUUGGACUGUAAUUAACUUGAUUUUGAUGUAUCCGGGUUCAACUUUAAGCUCAAGUAAAUUAGGUAGUAAUUAGUUAACGUCUUUAUUGUUACUUUAUCCUCUUUCAAAUAUUGUUGAUUUGAAUUUUUGAGUAAUAAGUAGUGACUGUUUUGUAUUUGUAUUGUUUUGCGAGGACUAAUGCUAUUGACUUUGGUGUUUAACAUGAUCAAGCUCAAGUUACUUAGGUAUUAUUAGUUAAUGCCUUAUGUUGUAAUUUGUCUUUUUGAAAUUAUACUGAUUUAAAUUUUAAGUAAUGAGUAGUGACUAUUUUGCAUUUGUUUUGUUUUGCGAGGACUUAUGCUAUUGACUAAAGGACUCGAUUGGAUGUACCUCGUUAAUUGCGAUGCCUAUGCCUAGGUACUUUUAAAUACAUAUUUCCACACUUUUAAAUAUUGAGGUACGUAACAUUUGCUUUAAAUGUUGUAUAUGUAUCUUGGACCGUAAUUAACUUGAGUUUGAUGUAUCCCGGGUUCAACUUUAAGCUCAAGUAAAUUAGGUAUUAUUAGUUAACGCUUUAUAUGUUACUUUAUCUCUUUCAAAUAUUGUUGAUUUGAAUUUUUGAGUAAUAAGUAGUGACUGUUUUGUAUUUGUAUUGUUUUGCGAGGACUAAUGCUAUUGACUUUGGUGUUUAACGUGAUCAAGCUCAAGUUACUUAGGUAUUAUUAGUUAAUGCCUUAUGUUGUAAUUUGUCUUUUUUAAAUUAUACUGAUUUAAAUUUUAAGUAAUGAGUAGUGACUAUUUUGCAUUUGUUUUUUUUUGCGAGGACUUAUGCUAUUGACUAAAGGACUCGAUUGGAUGUACCUCGUUAAUUGCGAUGCCUAUGCCUAGGUACUUUCAAAUAUAUAUUUUCACACUUUUAAAUAUUGACUUACGGAACAUUUUGCUUAAAUGUUAGAUGUAUUUUGGACCGUAAUUAACUUGGUUUGAAUUCCCCGGGUUCAACUUUAAGCUCAAGUACAUUAGGUAUUAUUAGUUACGCCUUAUGUGUUACUUUAUCUGUUUUAAAUAUUUUGAUUAUAUUUUUUGAGUAAUAAGUAAGUUACUGUUUUGUAUUUGUAUUGUUUUUGCGAGACUAAUUCUAUUGUCCUUUGGUGUUUAAUAUGAAUCAUGCUCAAGUUAAUUAGGUCUUAUUUGUUAAUGUUCCUUAUGUUUGUAUUCUCUCUUGAAAUUGACUUAUUUAAUUUUAAGUAAUGAGUGAGUGCUAUUUUGCAUUUGUUUUGUUUUGCGAGAAUUUAUGCUAUUACUAAAUGACUCGAUUGGAUGUACCUCUUAAUGCAUGCCUAUGCCUAGGUACUUUCAAAUACAUUUUUCUACAGCCUUUACUUAUUGAGGUACGUGACCAUUUGGCUUUAAAUGUUGUUUGAUCUUGGACUGUAAUUAACUUGAGUUUGAUUAUCCCGGUUUCAACUUAAGCUCAAGUAAUAGGUAUUAUUAGUUAACGCCUUUAUGUGUUACUUUAUCUCUUUCAAAUAUUGUUUGAUUUGAUUUUUGAGUAAUAAGUAGUGACUUUUUGUCUUUGUAUGUUUGGGGGCUAGGACUAUUGCUAUGACUUUGGUGUUUAAAUUAUCAGCUCAAGUUACUUAGUAUUCUUAGUUAAUGCCUUCUGUUGGUAAUUUGUCUUUUUUAAAUUAUACUGAUUUAAAUUUUAAUUAUGAGUAGUGACUAUUUUGCAUUUGUUUUGUUUUGCGAGGACUUAUGCUAUUGACUAAGGACUGCGAUUGGAAUGUACCCGUAAGUUGCGAUCCAUGCCUAGGUACUUUCAAAUAAUAUUUCCACAUUUUUAAAUAUUGAGGUAACUAACAUUUGCUUUAAUGUUUGUAUCUGUAUCUUGGACCGUAACUAACUUGAGUUUGAACUUCCCUGGGUUCCACUUUAACUCAAGUAAAUUAGGUAUUAUUAGUUAACGCUUUUGUGUUACUUUAUCUCUUUCAUAAUGUUGAUUUGAUUUUUGAGUAAUAAGUAGUGACUGUUUUGUAGUUUUAUAUUGUUUUUGCGUGAGGACGGGAAUAUAUUGACUUGGUGUUUAACAUGAUCAAGCUCAAGUUACUUAGGUAUUUAUUAGUUAAUGCCUUAUGUUUAAUUUGUCUGUUUGAAAUUAUACUGAUUUAAAUUUUAAGUAAUGAUAUGACUAUUUUGCAAUUUGUUUUGUUUUGUGAGGACUUCUGGUAUUGACCAAGGACUCGUUGGUGUACCUCGUUAAUUGCGAUGCCUAUGCCAAGUACUUUCAAUACAUAUUCGACACCUUUAAAUAUUGAGGUACCGUAACAUUUGCGUUAAAUGUUUUGUAUGUUUAAUCUUAGCCCGUAAAUUACUUGAGUUUGAAGUUCCUCGGGUUCACUUUAAAGCUCAAUGUAAAAUAGGUAUUGUUAGUUACCGCCUUUGUUGUACUUUAUCUUCUUCAAAUCAUGUUGAUUUGAAUUUUUUGCGUAGAAGUAGUGACUGUUUUGUAGUUCUAUUGUUUUGCGAGGACGAAUGCUAUUGAAUUUGUGUUUAACAGAUCAAGCUCAAGUUACUAGGUAUUAUAUUGAAUGCCUUUGUUGUAAUUUGUCUUUUUGAAAUUAUACUGAUUUAAAAUUUUUAAGUAAUGAGUAGUGGCUAUUUGCAUUGGUUUGUUUUGCGAGGACGUAUGCUAUUGACUAAAGGACUCGAUUGGUGUACCUCGUUAAUUGGCGAUGCCUAUGCCUAGGUUACUUUCAAAACAUUUUUGCACACUUUUAAAUAUUGAGGUACGUAACAUUUUGGGUCUUUUAAAUGUUGCAAUGAAUCUUGGACGUAAUUACUUGAUUUUGAACUUCCCCGGAUUCAACUUUAGCGCAAGCAAAUUUAGUAUUAUUAGUUAACGCUUUUGUGGUUACUUUUAUCUGUUUUAAAUAAGUUGAUUUAUAUUUUUGCGUAAUAAGUAGUUACUGUUUUGUUAUGGUAUUGUUUUGCGAGGACUAUGCUAUUGCUUUGGUGUUUAACAUGAUCAAGCACAAGUUCUUAGGUAUUUUAUUAAUGCCUUAUGUUGUAAUUGUCUUUUUGACAUUGUACUGAUUUAAAUUUAAGUAUGAGUAGUGACUAUUUUGCAUUUGUUUGUUUUGCGAGGACUUAUGCGAUUGACUAAAGGACUCGAUUGGAUGUACCUCGUUAAUUGCGAUGCCUAUGCCUAGGUACUUUCAAAUACAUAUUUCCACACUUUUAAAUAUUGAGGUACGUAACAUUUGCUUUAAAUGUUGUAUAUGUACUUGGACCGUAAUUAACUUGAGUUUGAUGUUUCCCGGUUCAACUUUAAGCUCUAGUAAAUUAGUUAUUAUUAGUUAACCCUUUUAUUGUUACUUUUAUCUCUUUCAAAUUUUUUUUAUUUGCCUUUUUGCGUGCCUCCGUCGUUCCUGUUUUGUCUUUUUUACUUGUUUUUUGGGCGCGUCUACUGCUCCUUAUCCUUUGUGUUUUUCCCCUUCUCCCUCUCCCUUUCCUUUCGUUCUUCUUCUUUCCCUGCCUAUUGUUGUAUUUGUCUUUUUUAAAUUAUACUGAUUUUAAAUUUUUAAGUAAUGAGUAGUUACUAUUUUGCAUUUGUUUUUUUUUGCUAUGCCUUAUGUCUAUUGACCCAGGACUCUGAUUGGAUGUACCUCGUUAAUUGCGAUGCCUAUGCCUAGGUACUUUCAAAUACAUAUUUUCACAACUUUAAUAUUGACGUUACGGAACAUUUGCCUUUAAAUGUUAUAUGUAUUUUGGACCGUAUUAACUUGAGUUUGGAAGUUUCCCCGGGUUCAACCUUUAAGCUCCAAGUACAUAGGUAUUUAUUAGUUUAACGCCUUCUGUGUUUACUUUAUCUUUUUUAAAUAAUGUUUCUUAUAUUUUUCCUUGAAUAAGUAGUUUACUUGUUUGUAUUUGUAUUGUUUUGGCGAGGACUAAUGCUAAUGACUUUGGUGUUUAAUAUGAUCAAGCUCAAGUUAAUUAGGUAUUAUUUGUUAAUGCCUCUUAUGUUGUAAUUUCUCUCUUUGAAAUUGUACUUAUUUAAGUUUUAAGUAAUGAGUAGUGGCUAUUUUGAAUUUGUUUUGUUUUGCGAGAAUUUAUGCUAUUGACUAAAGGACUCGAUUGGAUGUACCUCGUUAAUUGCGAUGCCUAUGCCUAGGUACUUUCAAAUACAUAUUUCCACACCUUUAAUUAUUGAGGUACGUAACAUUUGCUUUAAAUGUUGUAUAUGUAUCUUGGACCGUAAUUAACUUGAGUUUGAUGUAUCCCGGGUUCAACUUUAAGCUCAAGUAAAUUAGGUAUUCUUAGUUAACGCCUUAUGUU